rfam:Gossypium raimondii Chr01_contig_1310, whole genome shotgun sequence.
UGUUAAAAAUUUCUAUCUAUUUCUAUUGUUCAAAAUAGACAUGACUGACAGAAUAAUCAGACAGUAACAGAUGACAUGCCACGUGUACAGAAACUAAUUUUUACCAGCAAAAAUGGAUGAUAUUUUUAACA